UACGUAGGGUGCAAGCGUUAAUCGGAAUUACUGGGCGUAAAGCGUGCGCAGGCGGUUGUGCAAGACCGAUGUGAAAUCCCCGGGCUUAACCUGGGAAUGGCAUUGGUGACUGCACGGCUAGAGUGUGUCAGAGGGGGGUAGAAUCCCACGUGUAGCAGUGAAAUGCGUAGAGAUGUGGAGGAAUACCGAUGGCGAAGGCAGCCCCCUGGGAUAACACUGACGCUCAUGCACGAAAGCGUGGGGAGCAAACAGG
rnacentral:rRNA from 1 species